rnacentral:rRNA from 1 species
AUUGAACGCUGGCGGCAUGCCUUACACAUGCAAGUCGAACGGCAGCAUGGAGAGCUUGCUCUCUGAAGGCGAGUGGCGAACGGGUGAGUAAAGCAUCGGAACGUACCGUGUAGUGGGGGAUAACGUAGCGAAAGUUACGCUAAUACCGCAUACGCACUGAGGGGGAAAGCAGGGGAUCGUAAGACCUUGCGCUAUACGAGCGGCCGAUGUCAGAUUAGCUAGUUGGUAGGGUAAAGGCCUACCAAGGAGACGAUCUGUAGCGGGUAUGAGAGGAUGAUCCGCCACACUGGGACUGAGGCACGGCCCAGACUCCUACGGGAGGCAGCAGUGGGGAAUUUUGGACAAUGGGGGCAACCCUGAUCCAGCCAUGCCGCGUGAGUGAAGAAGGCCUUCGGGUUGUAAAGCUCUUUCGGCCGGGAAGAAAUCGCACAGGCUAAUACCCUGUGUGGAUGACGGUACCGGCAUAAGAAGCACCGGCUAACUACGUGCCAGCAGCCGCCGUAA